rnacentral:rRNA from 1 species
CGGACGGGUGAGUAACGCGUGGGGAACCUGCCUUGCACCGGGGGAUAACACUUAGAAAUAGGUGCUAAUACCGCAUAAGCGCACAGAGCCGCAUGGCUCAGUGUGAAAAACUCCGGUGGUGCAAGAUGGACCCGCGUCUGAUUAGCUGGUUGGCGGGGUAACGGCCCACCAAGGCGACGAUCAGUAGCCUGCCUGAGAGGGUGAACGGCCACAUUGGGACUGAGACACGGCCCAAACUCCUACGGAAGGCAGCAG